AUUGAACGCUGGCGGCAGGCUUAACACAUGCAAGUCGAGCGGGGUGAUGGUGCUUGCACUAUCACUUAGCGGCGGACGGGUGAGUAAUGCUUAGGAAUCUGCCUAUUAGUGGGGGACAACAUCUCGAAAGGGAUGCUAAUACCGCAUACGUCCUACGGGAGAAAGCAGGGGAUCACUUGUGACCUUGCGCUAAUAGAUGAGCCUAAGUCGGAUUAGCUAGUUGGUGGGGUAAAGGCCUACCAAGGCGACGAUCUGUAGCGGGUCUGAGAGGAGGAUCCGCCACACUGGGACUGAGACCCGGCCCAGACUCCUACGGGAGGCAGCAGUGGGGAAUAUUGGACAAUGGGGGGAACCCUGAUCCAGCCAUGCCGCGUGUGUGAAGAAGGCCUUAUGGUUGUAAAGCACUUUAAGCGAGGAGGAGGCUCUUUUGGUUAAUACCCAAGAUGAGUGGACGUUACUCGCAGAAUAAGCACCGGCUAACUCUGUGCCAGCCGCCGCAGUAA
rnacentral:rRNA from 1 species